UGGUGGGUGUGUAAAAGGCCUCUGCGGGCCGGGCCGAAAGGAGGCUGCCGCCUGUCCCCCCCUCUCUGCCACCCUGGGCCCGAACCAGUCCCCACCCAGCAGCUUAGAGGUGCUCUAAUGGGCAAAAUGGAGGCAACUUCUUGCCCAGGGAAACCCGGCAAGUUUGCAGCUGCCCUUUGCUCUACGCAGCCGUUUCGGCAGAGGCAGUUCCCCGGAUGACCGACAGAUGGCGCUAAACCUUCACUAUAGCCUUCCUGUUUUCCUGAGACUCUUCAGGGCCCUGACUGAUACAGGAGGAGUGCCUGCCAUGAGCUGUACCUGCCUAGGAUCCAGAGGAGAUCGGAAGGAGUGAGGACACCUAUAGGAUGCUGGUGCAACCUACGAUGGUCUCCAUGGAGGUGAACAUGAACUUAGCAUUAACAAGGCGUAUGUAGCUGACCUUCUCUCCCAGCUAGAAUUUUCCCAAGACUUUAAGUCACAAUUCCAGACUUCUCUACAAACAAAGCUGUCACUGACACCCCCAGGAAAUGGUGCCAACCACAUUCCCAUUUAAUGAGCAGCCACUACAUUCCAGACAUUGUCCUAGGUGUUUGUAAUGGGUUUUAGUAGCCUUUUGUAAUGUGUCCUGGCCAUGGUGGUGAGUGCAGGACUAAGGUGUAGCCAAUCAUAGUACCUCAUUCCCUUCUUCCAAAGCGAUUGGCCUGCAGAGUGAGCAUGUGACUAAGCAGGACCAAUCAAGGGCUUUCCCUGGGACUGAUACACUGUUACUAGGUGAAGGAAGCUCUCUCUCUCUGCUGAGGGUGGUUCUGUCCACGCCAUUUGGAAGAGGCUCAUCUGUGGGAGGAGAGACUGAGGGUUCCAUUUUAAGAGAAGAAGAGACAAGCAGAGAACAGAGGGAACGAGGGACACGAUACAUUCCCUUUUGUCUGUCUGGAGUUGGGUUUCUGUCACUUGCAACCAAAAGAAUGCUGACCGGGGCACCUGGGUGGCUCAGUUGGUUAAGCAUCCAACUCGGCUCAGGUCCUGAUCUCACGAUUCAUGAAUUCCAGCCCCACAGUGGGCUCUCUAUUGUCAGCACAGAGAUCUUUUUCAGAUCAUCUGCCUCCCCCACCUCCCUACCGCUCUCCCUCUCCCUCUCUCUCUCUCUCUCUCUCUCUCUCAAAAAUAAAUAAACUUAAAAAAAAAAAGAAUCCUGACUGAUA